rnacentral:rRNA from 1 species
UACGGAGGGUGCAAGCGUUGUUCGGAAUCAUUGGGCGUAAAGCGCGUGUAGGCGGCUUGGCAAGUCGGUUGUGAAAGCCCGGGGCCCAACCCCGGAACUGCAUCUGAAACUGCCUGGCUAGAGUCCCGGAGAGGAAGGAGGAAUUCCCGGUGUAGGGGUGAAAUCCGUAGAUAUCGGGAGGAAUACCAGCGGCGAAGGCGGCCUUCUGGACGGUGACUGACGCUGAGACGCGAAAGCGUGGGGAGCAAACAGG